UACGUAGGGGGCUAGCGUUGUCCGGAAUCAUUGGGCGUAAAGAGCGUGUAGGCGGCCCGGUAAGUCCGCUGUGAAAGUCGGGGGCUCAACCCUCGGAUGCCGGUGGAUACUGUCGGGCUCGAGUACGGAAGAGGCGAGUGGAAUUCCUGGUGUAGCGGUGAAAUGCGCAGAUAUCAGGAGGAACACCGGUGGCGAAGGCGGGUCUCUGGGCCGAUACUGACGCUGAGGAGCGAAAGCGUGGGGAGCGAACAGG
rnacentral:rRNA from 1 species